AUCCUCGUGUAGGACGCCCAACAUCUGGACGCACACAGCAUGACUACUAGUGCUGAGCAGCCACCCACAAUGAAUUACCUCACAGGAUUGCUGGUCAAAGACACUCGGAGAGACUCCAGGCAUGUGACAAGUCUCUCAUCUGCAGACCCCAUUUUCAGCUCAUGAAUGAAUUCCUGAGAUUCACCAUCCAACGGCAGGAAAUGAAUUGUGUAAGUUCAAAAGAAGAUCAGGUGAAGUGGUACGAAAUUCGGUGUUUUUCAUGUUUUUUGUUUUUAUUAAUUUACUAUAAUGUUAUUCAAAACAACAUUCCCAAUAAAGCAAAACAAAUUAGCACUGUAAAAAAAAAAAAAAA
rnacentral:lncRNA from 1 species